GUCCAUGGGUAGCCUAGUGGACAUAGGAUCUGCCCGGUAAGAGGAACACUGUGGGUUCGAUUCCCAUCCCUGGACA
rnacentral:tRNA from 1 species